rnacentral:misc_RNA from 1 species
AAGUCGUAACAAGGUUUCCGUAGGUGAACCUGCGGAAGGAUCAUUAACACGUAUCCACGUAUUUAUCAACUAACACUAAGAACUGUAGCUCCCCUUCAAUAGACCUCCGUCUGCCAGUAACUGGGAUGUGGUGGGUUGUAUGAGAUUGCUUGCAAUUUUGUAUGACGUACUCAGUGAACGCUAUGAUUCCUCGAGGAUCAGGACGGCAACUUAUUGACGGGCUCAACCUUUCUCACCUUCUUUCACUCCCGCGGGAGAAGGUGAGGAAACCCAUACCUAUUUCACCCUAUUUUACCUAUUUGACUAAUAUUAUAUUCUUCGGGAGAAAUCCUGUUGAAUUCUAAGAUUUAUCUUAACUAAGCACAACUCUUAGCAAUGGAUAUCUUGGUUCUC